UCCUGACGCUCCGCAGGGACCCCUGACUGGACGGCGGCGCGUGAGCGGCGCGAGAAGCUUCGCCGCGGGGGUGCGCGGGCACGCCGAAGCCGCUUACCUGGGCCCACACCGGCCUGCUCUGGCGCCCGGCUGUGACGGGUGCGGCGGCGGGUGGUGGCGGUGGCGGCCGCAGGCUUCGCUCCUUGUUGGGGAUUCGGCGGCGGCGGCGGCGGCGGCGGCGGCGCGGGCGCGCGCUUCCUAGUGACGCAGACACCAAGGCCGCGCACGCACGUGUCGGGCGGGUUAGGAGACUUAUUUGGCGCCCGGCGCGGAAGCGGAUGGCGUGACCAGAAUUGAAGCCCAACCCAGUUCAUUGAGCUGAAACCCACGUGCUACAGGGCUGGUGCCUUCUGGAUGAAGCAAAGGGGAGCCAUUUUCUGCCACCCAUGGCUUCCAGAAGGACUUGAUGGAAGGGAGUACGAUGCCAUGCCUGGAGUGGCC